rnacentral:rRNA from 1 species
GACGAACGCUGGCGGCGUGCUUAACACAUGCAAGUCGAACGGAAAGGCCCUGCUUUUGUGGGGUGCUCGAGUGGCGAACGGGUGAGUAACACGUGAGUAACCUGCCCUUGGCUUUGGGAUAACUUCAGGAAACUGGGGCUAAUACCGGAUAGGAGCUCCUGCUGCAUGGUGGGGGUUGGAAAGUUUCGGCGGUUGGGGAUGGACUCGCGGCUUAUCAGCUUGUUGGUGGGGUAGUGGCUUACCAAGGCUUCGACGGGUAGCCGGCCUGAGAGGGUGACCGGCCACAUUGGGACUGAGAUACGGCCCAGACUCCUACGGGAGGCAGCAGUGGGGAAUAUUGCACAAUGGGCGGAAGCCUGAUGCAGCAACGCCGCGUGCGGGAUGACGGCCUUCGGGUUGUAAACCGCUUUCGCCUGUGACGAAGCGUGAGUGACGGUAAUGGGUAAAGAAGCACCGGCUAACUACGUG